UACGAAGGGGGCUAGCGUUGUUCGGAUUUACUGGGCGUAAAGGGCGCGUAGGCGGCCACCGCAAGUCACUUGUGAAAUCUCCGGGCUUAACCCGGAAAGGUCAACUGAUACUGCGGGGCUAGAGUGCAGAAGGGGCAACUGGAAUUCUCGGUGUAGCGGUGAAAUGCGUAGAUAUCGAGAGGAACACCUGCGGCGAAGGCGGGUUGCUGGGCUGACACUGACGCUGAUGUGCGAAAGCUAGGGGAGCGAACGGG
rnacentral:rRNA from 1 species